rnacentral:rRNA from 1 species
GGGGUUCGUCCCUGAUGAAGAGCUUUACGAUCCGAAUCCUUCUUCCUCACGCGGCGUUGCUCCGUCAGACUUUCGGCCAUUGCGGAAGAUUCCCCACUGCUGCCUCCCGUAG